rnacentral:rRNA from 1 species
AGCGAACGCUGGCGGUAUGCUUAACACAUGCAAGUCGAGCGCGAAAGUGACUUCGGUCAUGAGUAGAGCGGCGGACGGGUGAGUAACACGUGGAUAAUCUGCCUUUAGGACUGGGAUAACCCUGGGAAACUAGGGCUAAUACCGGAUAAGACCACAGGUUCCAUGGAACCAGGGGUAAAAGGCGGCCUUCGGGCUGUCGCCGAAAGAUGAGUCCGCGUCCCAUCAGGUAGUUGGUGAGGAACGGCUCACCAAGCCGAAGACGGGUAGCCGACCUUAGCGGGUGAUCGGCCACACGGGGACUGAGACACGGCCCCGAC